UACAGAGGGUGCAAGCGUUAAUCGGAAUUACUGGGCGUAAAGCGUGCGUAGACGGUUAUUUAAGUCAGGUGUGAAAGCCCCGGGCUCAACCUGGGAAUUGCAUUUGAGACUGAAUAGCUAGGGUGCGGAAGAGGGAAGCGGAAUUUCCGGUGUAGCGGUGAAAUGCGUAGAUAUCUGGAGGAACACCGGUGGCGAAGGCGGCAUCCUGGACUGUAACUGACACUGAGGAACGAAAGCCAGGGGAGCAAACGGG
rnacentral:rRNA from 1 species